GACGAACGCUGGCGGCGUGCUUAACACAUGCAAGUUGUACGACGGUCUUAUGAAGUGUUUACAUGGAUUAGGAUACGGAGUAGCGGACGGGUGAGUACAACAUGAGAACCUAUCCCAUAACGGGGGACAACGUUUGGAAACGGACGCUAAUACCCCAUAGGCCGAGAGGUUAAAGCGGAGACGCGAUAUGGGAGGGGCUCGUGACCUAUCAGCUAGUUGGUGGGGUAAAGGCCUACCAAGGCGACGACGGGUAGCCGGCCUGAGAGGGUGAACGGCCACACUGGAACUGAGAUACGGUCCAGACUCCUACGGGAGGCAGCAGUGGGGAAUAUUGGGCAAUGGGAGCAAUCCUGACCCAGCGACGCCGCGUGAACGAAGAAGGCCCUUGGGUCGUAAAGUUCUUUUGUACGGGAAGAAGACAGUGACGGUACCGUACGAAUAAGCCCCGGCUAACUACGUGCCAGCCGCCGCCGUAACAC
rnacentral:rRNA from 1 species